CGCAUCUGUGCAUGCAGCAUAUCAAUAAGCGGAGGAAAAGAAACUAACAAGGAUUCCCCUAGUAACGGCGAGUGAAGCGGGAAGAGCUCAAAUUUGAAAUCUUAAAGGGUUUCCCUUUACGAAUUGUAGUUUAAAGAAGUGUUUUCUGUUGAGGUUUUGGUAAAAGUUCUUUGGAAUAGGACAUCAUAGAGGGUGAGAAUCCCGUAUUUGACCUUUACUUUCAACUUUGUGAUACACUUUCAAAGAGUCGGAUUGUUUGGGAAUGCAGUCCAAAAUGGGUGGUAAAUUUCAUCUAAAGCUAAAUAUUGGCGAGAGACCGAUAGCGAACAAGUACCGUGAGGGAAAGAUGAAAAGAACUUUGAAAAGAGAGUUAAACAGUACGUGAAAUUGUCAAAAGGGAAGCGUUUGACACCAGUGUUGUCUUUCUGAAAAUCAAUUAAAGAACUGCUUAUGCUAAGCUGUUUAGACUUUAUCAGCUAUCUGUUUAGUUUUGAGCUUUUCUUUAAUGCACUUUUCAGUUAACAAGUCAACAUCAAUUUCUUUUGCUGUAAAAAAGCUUGAGGGAGGUGGCUUGAGAUUCGUCUUAAGUGUUUAUAGCCUCUUGCCUAUGCAGUCGGAGAGAUUGAGGUCUGCAGCGUAGAUCCUUCGGGGCUAAAUGCAUUUGUGCUAAGUUAUAGCAUUUUAUAGACAACUUGUUGACUAUGAUUUGUCUUGUAGCUUACUCGCUUAUGUUAUUUUACCUACGCUUAGGAUGUUGAGUCGUAGAGCACGCAG
rnacentral:rRNA from 1 species